UGUUGAGUCAAGAUGAGCUGCCCAAAAAGCUAGAUGAAAUGUUGAUGAAUGUGGGUGUACUGGGCACACUCAAAACACAAAUUCAAAACCACCCAAUUCAUGAGUCGAUGCACCCUGUAUUGAAUGGAGAGUUGCACCCUCUGUCCAUUUCACUGCAAGGGAACUCCCUCUUACUAGGAACCCCUAACUCUUUAGUGGCUGAUCACUAACAAAGAUAUGGCUAUGCGUCUUCACUUUCUGUUUUCUUUCCAGAAAUUGGUUUAGCAAAAGAAAAGGUAUUUAAUAUGCAGGAUUGAUUGCACUCUAUAAAAUUCACCCUACUCCCAGUUUCUAGAAAUCACUGGUCUCAGGAUCUGAUAAAGAAAACCAAAAAUCUGACAACCUUCAGCUUAUUGAUGAUCAACUGACAGUUGCUUACCCUUAGAAUACAAAGUUUGAGUCUUUAGAAACAAAGCUAAAUGAAUAUAAGAGAGAAAUAGAAAAGCAACUUCUGGCAGAAAUGUGUCAAAAGUUUUAUUUUUUUGUAAUAAAUUUGCAGUUGAAUUUUUCAUGGAAGUGAUAAGAGUAUGAGACAGAAUUAGCUAUGUUCUGAAGUUUUGAGAAAGCUUGUCAAGCAGAAUCUGAAGCCUUCAUUCCUUGAGAAAAGAGUAUCCUUGAGAGAAAUCAAAAGCACCAAGAAAUUGAAACAAGAAAAUUCAUGCUCAAAGCCUUCUUUUACUAAAAGAUAUAGAUUUGCUAAGAGAAGGAAAAGCAGAGCUGAAGCAGACAGUUGAAGAUUUUGGAUUAACCCAGAAACUCCAGGAAGAAAAACAUAAAAGCAUGACUGAGGACUUAGGAGAUGGGAGCACAAUACAAAGUGUCUUGAGGAGAACGAUGACUGAAAGCUGAAGAACAAACUUCUAAAGUAUCAACUUGAACUAACAGAUGACUACAUCAUUAGAAUUAAUCGACUGAAGAUGAAAGGAAGAAUAAAAGAAAACCUGUUUACUUGCAAGAGGAGAACACAGUUACUAAUUCAAAAAGGAGGAACUCAAUGAAUCAGUAAAUUUUAUGUAAGAACUUGACGUUGACUUAAUGUCUGUCAAAGCACAGUCUUUGGCAAUAACAAAACAAACAUAUGCUGAAUGAAAAUGUUUAAGAGAUGGAUGACUAUUUACUACUAAAAGAAGAAAAAUUGGA
rnacentral:lncRNA from 1 species